GCUACACAUGCAGUCGAACGGUAGCACAGAGAGCUUGCUCUCGGGUGACGAGUGGCGGACGGGUGAGUAAUGUCUGGGAAACUGCCUGAUGGAGGGGGAUAACUACUGGAAACGGUAGCUAAUACCGCAUAACGUCGCAAGACCAAAGAGGGGGACCUUCGGGCCUCUUGCCAUCAGAUGUGCCCAGAUGGGAUUAGCUAGUAGGUGGGGUAACGGCUCACCUAGGCGACGAUCCCUAGCUGGUCUGAGAGGAUGACCAGCCACACUGGAACUGAGACACGGUCCAGACUCCUACGGGAGGCAGCAGUGGGGAAUAUUGCACAAUGGGCGCAAGCCUGAUGCAGCCAUGCCGCGUGUAUGAAGAAGGCCUUCGGGUUGUAAAGUACUUUCAGCGGGGAGGAAGGCGUUGUGGUUAAUAACCACAGCGAUUGACGUUACCCGCAGAAGAAGCACCGGCUAACUCCGUGCCAGCAGCCGCGGUAAUACGGAGGGUGCAAGCGUUAAUCGGAAUUACUGGGCGUAAAGCGCACGCAGGCGGUCUGUCAAGUCGGAUGUGAAAUCCCCGGGCUCAACCUGGGAACUGCAUUCGAAACUGGCAGGCUAGAGUCUUGUAGAGGGGGGUAGAAUUCCAGGUGUAGCGGUGAAAUGCGUAGAGAUCUGGAGGAAUACCGGUGGCGAAGGCGGCCCCCUGGACAAAGACUGACGCUCAGGUGCGAAAGCGUGGGGAGCAAACAGGAUUAGAUACCCUGGUAGUCCACGCCGUAAACGAUGUCGACUUGGAGGUUGUGCCCUUGAGGCGUGGCUUCCGGAGCUAACGCGUUAAGUCGACCGCCUGGGGAGUACGGCCGCAAGGUUAAAACUCAAAUGAAUUGACGGGGGCCCGCACAAGCGGUGGAGCAUGUGGUUUAAUUCGAUGCAACGCGAAGAACCUUACCUACUCUUGACAUCCAGAGAACUUUCCAGAGAUGCAUUGGUGCCUUCGGGAACUCUGAGACAGGUGCUGCAUGGCUGUCGUCAGCUCGUGUUGUGAAAUGUUGGGUUAAGUCCCGCAACGAGCGCAACCCUUAUCCUUUGUUGCCCCCGGUCCGGCCGGGAACUCAAAGGAAACUGCCCUUGAUAACUGGAGAAAAGGUGGGGAUAACAUCCAGUCAUAAGGGCCCUUACAAAAAGGGGAACACACUG
rnacentral:rRNA from 1 species